rnacentral:misc_RNA from 1 species
GAUGAAGAACGCAGUGAAAUGCGAUACGUAAUGUGAAUUGCAGAAUUCAGUGAAUCAUCGAAUCUUUGAACGCACAUUGCGCCCGCCAGUAUUCUGGCGGGCAUGCCUGUUCGAGCGUCAUUACAACCCUCAGGCCCCCGGGCCUGGCGUUGGGGAUCGGCGGAGCCCCCCGUGGGCACACGCCGUCCCCCAAAUACAGUGGCGGUCCCGCCGCAGCUUCCAUCGCGUAGUAGCUAACACCUCGCGACUGGAGAGCGGCGCGGCCACGCCGUAAAACACCCAACUCUUCUGAAGUUGACCUCGAAUCAGGUAGGAAUACCCGCUGAACUUAAGCAUAUCAAUAAGCGGAGGA